CCUACGGGCGGCAGCAGUGGGGAAUAUUGCACAAUGGGGGAAACCCUGAUGCAGCGACGCCGCGUGAGUGAAGAAGUAAUUCGGUAUGUAAAGCUCUAUCAGCAGGGAAGAAAAUGACGGUACCUGAGUAAGAAGCCCCGGCUAACUACGUGCCAGCAGCCGCGGUAAUACGUAGGGGGCAAGCGUUAUCCGGAUUUACUGGGUGUAAAGGGAGCGUAGACGGCAGUGCAAGUCUGGAGUGAAAGGCGGGGGCUCAACCCCCGGACUGCUCUUGAAACUGUACGGCUGGAGUGCAGGAGAGGUAAGUGGAAUUCCUAGUGUAGCGGUGAAAUGCGUAGAUAUUAGGAGGAACACCAGUGGCGAAGGCGGCUUACUGGACUGUAACUGACGUUGAGGCUCGAAAGCGUGGGGAGCAAACAGGAUUAGAUACCCCGGUAGUC
rnacentral:rRNA from 1 species